GCCGCCUUAGCUCAGUUGGUAGAGCGCCACUUUUGUAAAGUGGAUGUCCUCGGUUCGAGUCCGAGAGGCGGCU
rnacentral:tRNA from 1 species